UUUAUUUCUUCUUCGAGGAUCAAACGAACUAGUAAUGCAAGUUUUUCUUACGUGUUCUCGUGUGACGUGUUAAAAAAUCGUUUCAGAAGUCAAAAUGAGCUCCAAGUAUCACAUAUGUCAGAAAAAUACAAAUCAUCAGUAACAUGGGGCACCAAGAACGUGAAAUUCAUCUAGAUUUUGG